UACGUAUGGUGCAAGCGUUAUCCGGAUUUACUGGGUGUAAAGGGAGCGCAGGCGGCACGGCAAGCCUGAUGUGAAAGCCCGCGGCCCAACCGCGGGACUGCAUUGGGAACUACCGGGCUGGAGUGCCGGAGAGGUAGGCGGAAUUCCUAGUGUAGCGGUGAAAUGCGUAGAUAUUAGGAGGAACACCAGGGGCGAAGGCGGCCUACUGGACGGUGACUGACGCUGAGGCUCGAAAGCGUGGGGAGCAAACAGG
rnacentral:rRNA from 1 species